UUGCAAAUAUUCUCACUGUUCAGAUUCCAUAAUAAUAAGGGCAGGCUAAACAUAUGCUAUAUUAAGAUCAUGCAUGUGUUCCCAGACCUAAUUUUUUUAAAUAAUAUUUUAUUUAUUUUGAAUAAAGAC
rfam:Erinaceus europaeus unplaced genomic scaffold scaffold00845, whole genome shotgun sequence